GCCACCUUAGCUCAGCGGUAGAGCAACGGUUUCGUAAACCGUAGGUCGCGAGUUCAAUUCUCGCAGGUGGCU
rnacentral:tRNA from 1 species